GAUCAAAUCAAGCGCGAGAAGGGCGUUUGGUGAAUGCCUUGGCAGCAAGAGGCGAUGAAAGACGUGAUACUCUGCGAUAAGCCAUGGGGAGCUGAGAAUAAGCUUUGAUCCAUGGAUCUCUGAAUGGGGCAACCCACCUGAAAGCUUCAUAUUGUUAUCUUUGAUAAUCAAUAUGUUGCUUAAACAGGUACUUAAGACCUGAAUACAUAGGGUUUUAAGAGCAAACCCGGGGAACUGAAACAUCUAAGU
rnacentral:rRNA from 1 species